rnacentral:lncRNA from 1 species
CCUCUGCUGUGCCUCUGAGCUCUGCUCAAGGAGCCCUGUUGACUUUACAGGGAUUAUUUUAAGGAACAAUGUUGUGAAACCACUCUCAGCUUCCCGUCCCCUGGAAAUCACAGUUCAAAUGUGCCUGCAGUCAAGGGAGAAAGUUAUGGUGUGACAGCAGCUCUUUUCAGUGUUUCACUGCACUGGAUGAACUGCCACUGAAAGCUGAUGUCAGUGUUAGUGGGAUGGAUACCUUCUGGAGCAUUUCUUGUUGUUCAACAAAUCCGGUAGUGGUUGUGGGAUUUGCUUGCAUCCAGAGCCUGUUGCUAGGACAGAGGAGGAUGCAUCGAGGAGGCAUUUGCUGCAUGCUGCAUCUGUCAGGAGGCUGCGGAGCCGCGAGGAUUCCUGAUGUGAUGGACCAGGUGUCAGAAGCAAUAAAUAACAAUGAUGCGCCCCGGCUUGGGAGUUCUCCUGCAAUUAUUUCUCCUCCUGGUGCAUGCUUAUUUGAACUUUCAAGACCAAAGGGAUGGCGUAAGGGACCAAACCACGAGGUCUGCAAUUCCUGCUAGGUUCUCUGAAACUGCAGAUUUGAAUCCCAGCAGACCUGACUCAGGAGUUAAGUAAAGCUCAUUGGGGUUACAGGUAGAGUGCUGAAAGCAUCCUCCUUUUCUGGAGUUACUGAGCUCUAAAGAGGUGGAAACAGGUUCAAAAAUCCAAACAGAUUCCUCUGUCCCAUGCGCACAGGCAUGAAAAGAGUGCCAAGAAGCUUUGGUAAUGAGAUAAAACUGAUUAGAAGGAAAUGGAGAGGCUCCUGUAAAAGUCCUUAAUACGUUUUUUUCUCCUUCUGGGAGGCUGCAAGACCCAUCCUCAUCAUAAAGUCACGCUGGAUCACAGUUAUUUUCAGGACAGGCUUGGUCCAUUUCCCAGCUUCUAGAAGAGUAACUGGAGAAAGCUCUGGGGACACUCAAAAUCCCAAAGCCCCUAAAAAACUUCUUUGACUUCACAGAGAGAACCGUAGGAUUUUGGUUUGCACGUUCGGAAAUUCCAUCCUGUGUUUCUCAAUGAACUGUACCAACCUGCUUUUUCUUAUAUCUGCUGGGCUGCUGUGUGAAGGUAUGGAAUUAAAUACGUAAAUUCACUGGAUUGCAACUGGGAGCUCAUGGUUCAGAGAGCCUCCCCGGAAAACAACCUGGAGCUCUCCUUCUGCAGCUGCACGCAUUUAAUGGCAUUUCUUUAUUAGUCAAGCUUAAUUCCAGGAGCAUAUACAUCUUUGUCUUUGCUCUCGGAUGUGGAAACAGCUUCAGCAACACAUUCAUUUAUUGUGCUUAAAAGGCACUGACUUCAUCUGGCCUUAAGGCCCUGAUAAAUUAAAGCCUCGCCGAAGAAUUUUCCUAGAGAAGGGAAUUUAUUUCUCCAAAUCAGGGCUGUAUUCCUCUUUCUCUCCACCUAUUACCUCUAUAAAUAAAGGUUGUCCUGACAUCCUUUGAUUUUUGGUG